UACGUAGGGGGCUAGCGUUGUCCGGAAUCAUUGGGCGUAAAGAGCGUGUAGGCGGCCCGGUAAGUCCGCUGUGAAAGUCGGGGGCUCAACCCUCGAAUGCCGGUGGAUACUGUCGGACUAGAGUACAGAAGGGGCAACUGGAAUUCUCGGUGUAGCGGUGAAAUGCGUAGAUAUCGAGAGGAACACCUGCGGCGAAGGCGGGUUGCUGGGCUGAUACUGACGCUGAGGCGCGAAAGCCAGGGGAGCGAACGGG
rnacentral:rRNA from 1 species